AGAACUUUCCAGAGAUGGAUUGGUGCCUUCGGGAACUCGUGAGACAGGUGCUGCAUGGCUGUCGUCAGCUCGUGUUGUGAAAUGUUGGGUUAAGUCCCGCAACGAGCGCAACCCUUAUCCUUUGUGCCAGCGGUUAGGCCGGGAACUCAAAGGAGACUGCCAGUGAUAAACUGGAGGAAGGUGGGGAUGACGUCAAGUCAUCAUGGCCCUUACGAGUAGGGCUACACACGUGCUACAAUGGCGCAUACAAAGAGAAGCGACCUCGCGAGAGCAAGCGGACCUCAUAAAGUGCGUCGUAGUCCGGAUUGGAGUCUGCAACUCGACUCCAUGAAGUCGGAAUCGCUAGUAAUCGUGGAUCAGAAUGCCACGGUGAAUACGUUCCCGGGCCUUGUACACACCGCCCGUCACACCAUGGGAGUGGGUUGCAAAAGAAGUAGGUAGCUUAACCUUCGGGAGGGCGCUUACCACUUUGUGAUUCAUGACUGGGGUGAAGUCGUAACAAGGUAAGCGUAGUGCU
rnacentral:rRNA from 1 species